GUAGCGGGUCUGAGAGGAUGAUCCGCCACACUGGGACUGAGACACGGCCCAGACUCCUACGGGAGGCAGCAGUGGGGAAUAUUGGACAAUGGGCGGAAGCCUGAUCCAGCCAUGCCGCGUGUGUGAAGAAGGCCUUUUGGUUGUAAAGCACUUUAAGCGAGGAGGAGGCUACUCUAGUUAAUACCUAGGGAUAGUGGACGUUACUCGCAGAAUAAGCACCGGCUAACUCUGUGCCAGCAGCCGCGGUAAUACAGAGGGUGCGAGCGUUAAUCGGAUUUACUGGGCGUAAAGCGUGCGUAGGCGGCUGAUUAAGUCGGAUGUGAAAUCCCUGAGCUUAACUUAGGAAUUGCAUUCGAUACUGGUCAGCUAGAGUAUGG
rnacentral:rRNA from 1 species